rnacentral:piRNA from 1 species
UGGCCUUGUUGGGUAUCAAUGGGAGA